UAAUAUAAUCAAUCUCCAAUAUUUUAGAGGUACGAUCUCCCUAUAAUCUCCACAUCCAUGGAGUCCAUCUUUUUGCUUCCUAGUAUCUCCAUACCUAAACUUCCCUCAAAUGCACCAUCCUUUACCAUCCCGUCAAUGUCUUCCUCCUGGCUUCCUUUCAAUCUUAGAAAUAACACACCCUUUUCUCAACUCUCCAAUUAUUCAACCAAUAUUGUCUCAAUCGGUUCGAUUUCGAGUCUUAAUACGUGCAACAGAUUAUUAGUUCGUUGUGGAAAUGUGCAUGGUGGUGAGGCACACUCGGAUGCUAGAGCUCAAGACCCAUUGAAGUCACUGCUAAGCUUAGUGGAACCAAUGAAAAUUAACUCAAUCACAUCAACAAUUACUCGUUUCAAGAGUGAAGCAUUGAAACUGGUGAUGGAUGGGAAGUACAAUGAAGCAGAGAGUCAUAUGGAAGCAUUGCUUAAGGGAGAUACUGACGUAGCAUAUGAGGCUCGUUUGGCUCAUCUCCAAAUUCUCAUACAUCUUGAUAAGUACGAGAAAGCUCUAAAUUUUCUUGAGAAAGAGGGAGAUUUUCCUCGUUCUAAAUUAUGGGAAGAAAGACUUUUUCUUUACAAGGCAGUGGUGUAUACAAUGUUGGACAAGGAUGAUGAUGCUGAAAAAUGGUGGAAUAAGUAUGUAGACACCCUUCCGAAUGUAAAUGGAAAAACUGAAACUAAUGUUAUAAAUCAUACAAAUUCAGAGAUGAUUAUUGUGAUGGAUGCUAAAGACUUGUUGAAGCCAUUGUUGAGCUUCAAAAAACCAGCAAAGGUGGAAGAAAACACAUUCCUCUCCCACAUUAUUCACACUAAGAAUAUGGCAAUGAAGAAGGUGGUGAAUGGAGAGUAUGAAUUUGCAAAAUCCCUCAUGAAAUCAAAAGUUGAGCUUAUUAAAGACUCACAAGAGAGACUAGAGGCACAAAUCACUCAUAUUCACAUUCUUAUAUAUCUCUUAAUUAGGAUGAAUAUGAAGAAGCUCUAGACAUUCUCUCUGAGAUCGAGUAUCAAUUUUCUCCAAGUGAUUUCAGACCUUGGCUUUACAAGGCUAUUGGGCUGACAAUGUUGGGGAAUCAUAAAGAUGCAAAAACUUGUUGGAAAGCUUUCAUGAAAACCAUUGGCAUCAAAGGCUUCCCCAACUUCAAUUAAAAUUAAAGAGAAUGAUAUAUAUAUAUAUGACGUAAAUCUACCCAAACUUUGUAUUUAUAUAAUAUAUACAUACUUUGCAGCUUCUCUCUUCACCUCUAAUGCUUCUAAUUGUUCAAUCAUAUGUAUUUUAAUUUACAUUUUGUUGUUUGUGUAUUAUUCUAAGGGAUAUAUCAACAGAGACUUUUUUGUUUGUUUGUUAUAUUCAUACCAUUCAACCCCUAAAGUAUUAAAAUAUCAAUGCUAUCUCAA